GAUGAACGCUGGCGGCGUGCCUAAUACGUGCAAGUCGAGCGAACAGACGAGGAGCUUGCUCCUCUGACGUUAGCGGCGGACGGGUGAGUAACACGUGGAUAACCUACCUAUAAGACUGGGAUAACUUCGGGAAACCGGAGCUAAUACCGGAUAACAUGUUGAACCGCAUGGUUCAACAGUGAAAGACGGUCUUGCUGUCACUUAUAGAUGGAUCCGCGCCGCAUUAGCUAGUUGGUAAGGUAACGGCUUACCAAGGCAACGAUGCGUAGCCGACCUGAGAGGGUGAUCGGCCACACUGGAACUGAGACACGGUCCAGACUCCUACGGGAGGCAGCAGUAGGGAAUCUUCCGCAAUGGGCGAAAGCCUGACGGAGCAACGCCGCGUGAGUGAAGAAGGUCUUCGGAUCGUAAAACUCUGUUAUUAGGGAAGAACAAAUGUGUAAGUAACUAUGCACGUCUUGACGGUACCUAAUCAGGAAGCCACGGCUAACUACGUG
rnacentral:rRNA from 1 species